CUGGGAAGUUCACCGUUCAAGUCAUACCAUGGCACACCAGAGUACUCUCCUCCUGAGUACCACCGCAGGGGAGAGUACCAAGGCUGGCCGGCGACGGUCUGGUCACUAGGGAUUGUAAUGUUCACAUUGUUGUGUGGAGAUUUCCCUAGUUACCAGGACCUGCUCCUGCUGGAGCACAACAAGUGGUCCAAACCUGGCCUGUCACAGGAAUGCUGUGACUUACUAAGGGUUCUUCUCCACGAGAAGCCAAUCCGGCGACUUGGUCUGGGGCAAAUCAGGUCCCACAACUGGUUUAUGGUCGUCUUAUAGGACCACUCCGGUUGGCGCCUCUCUUGCAGCUUUGCGUCUUGCGGGCUGCAGCGGGAGGUGCUUUCAUC